rnacentral:rRNA from 1 species
CCUACGGGUGACAGCAGUGGGGAAUAUUGGGCAAUGGGGGCAAGUCUGACCCAGCAACGCCGCGUGAAGGAUGAAGGUCUUCGGAUUGUAAACUUCUGUUGUGGGGGACGAAGACAAUGACGGUACCCCAAGAACAAGCCACGGCUAACUACGUGCCAGCAGCCGCGGUAAUACGUAGGUGGCAAGCGUUAUCCGGAAUGACUGGGCGUAAAGGGUGCGUAGGUGGUUUAGUAAGUUGGCCGUGAAAUUCCAGGGCUCAACCUCGGAGCUGCCGGCGAAACUGUUAGACUAGAGUGAAGGAGGGGCAGGCGGAAUUCCGAGUGUAGCGGUGAAAUGCGUAGAUAUUAGGAGGAACAUCAGGGGCGAAGGCGACUUACUGGACUUUAACUGACGCUGAGGCACGAAAGCGUGGGGAGCAAACAGGAUUAGAUACCCGAGUAGUC